rnacentral:rRNA from 1 species
UCAUUCAGUUGGGCACUCUAAGGGGACUGCCGGUGAUAAGCCGAGAGGAAGGUGGGGAUGACGGUCAAGUCCUCAUGGCCCUUACGGGCUGGGCUACACACGUGCUACAAUGGUGGUGACAGUGGGCAGCGAGACCGCGAGGUCGAGCUAAUCUCCAAAAGACCAUCUCAGUUCGGAUUGCACUCUGCAACUCGAGUGCAUGAAGUUGGAAUCGCUAGUAAUCGCGGAUCAGCAUGCCGCGGUGAAUACGUUCCCGGGCCUU